rnacentral:misc_RNA from 1 species
GGUCCAUAUCCUUUUCUUUUUCUAGUGUAUUCAUUAAGUGCAUGGGCAGCAGGAGAAGAGGCAGAGGCAGGGUCCGAAGAAAGGGAAUGAAUGUCUUUAUUCUUCUUCUCUAUCUUUUUAUUUGGCGUUUAGGGGACUUGCAGCCUGUCAUUUCCUUUUGAACUCUCCAUCUCUUCCCCUUAAGAGGCCAAGCUUUCAAGUUCGUGACUGUGGAGUCUGGAGUAACAGUUUAGGCGCGAGGGGAACGUGGCGACGCAAUCGGCAAAAGCUUAAUCUUUAUUUUAUUUUUGCGGAAGGAAAAGGAAACUUGAUUGCU